CCCUUAGAUGGUCUGGGCGGCACGCGCGCUACAAUGAUGCAUUCAAAAAGUCUUCUGACCUUAGAAGGUUGGGUAUUCUCCAAAGUGCACCGUGAUGGGAAUAGUUUAUUGCAAUUUUUAAUCUUGAACGAGGAAUUCCUAGUAAGUACAGGUCAUCAACUUGUGUUGAUUACGUCCCUGCCCUUUGUACACACCGCCCGUCGCUCCUACUGAUUGAGUGUCUCGGUGAAUUCUUUGAUCUUCUGUCGAUUCAGUUCACUGAUCCGACGGUGGAAAGUUGAAUGAACUUCGUCACUUAGAGGAAGGAGAAGUCGUAACA
rnacentral:rRNA from 1 species